GGCGGCGGAGCUGCAGCUGCUGUCUGCGCCUUCGAGCCCGCGGCCUAUUUAUCCCCGCGCCGGGUCCGGGACAGCCCCCGCGGCCCUGCCCAGAGCCCGCCACAAGGUAUCUGCUGGGGAACACUGGAGGAAGCAGUCCCCGGCCUCUGUCAGAGGCAGCCAAGGUAUCUUCCCAGGCCUAUUGACUACCUGCCUGCCUGCCUGCCUGCCUGUGGCUCACCUCUGCCCUUCCACAGCAGACAUUUGCUCCUCCAGGCCUCCAGUACUGUCCAAGCAUGGUUCUUCUUUGAUGCAGUAUGUAAGCAGGUAUCUAUCUGUCCCAGAGAGUCCCAAGCCAGGACACCACAAAUGCAAAGGUCCUGUGGCCAGCCUGGCCUAGGCAUCUGAGGCAGCUAUCAUCUGGUGGUCUCCACUGCACCCCAAAGCAAGUCCCAGCACAGCUCUCCCUUCUUUCAGUCACCUGGAUAGUGCAGUGAACAGAGUGAUUUGCCACAUCACCAGCAUCGAAAUGAUGUGAGGAAGAGAGGACAGAGGAGACAGAAGGGGUGGUGUGUGCACAGAUGGAUGGGUGG